GACCGCGUGGCCUAAUGGAUAAGGCGCUCGCCUCCGGAGCGGGAGAUUCUGGGUCCCAGCGUGGUCG
rnacentral:tRNA from 1 species